rnacentral:rRNA from 1 species
ACUGGCAGGCUAGAGUCUUGUAGAGGGGGGUAGAAUUCCAGGUGUAGCGGUGAAAUGCGUAGAGAUCUGGAGGAAUACCGGUGGCGAAGGCGGCCCCCUGGACAAAGACUGACGCUCAGGUGCGAAAGCGUGGGGAGCAAACAGGAUUAGAUACCCUGGUAGUCCACGCCGUAAACGAUGUCGAUUUGGAGGUUGUGCCCUUGAGGCGUGGCUUCCGGAGCUAACGCGUUAAAUCGACCGCCUGGGGAGUACGGCCGCAAGGUUAAAACUCAAAUGAAUUGACGGGGGCCCGCACAAGCGGUGGAGCAUGUGGUUUAAUUCGAUGCAACGCGAAGAACCUUACCUGGUCUUGACAUCCACAGAACUUAGCAGAGAUGCUUUGGUGCCUUCGGGAACUGUGAGACAGGUGCUGCAUGGCUGUCGUCAGCUCGUGUUGUGAAAUGUUGGGUUAAGUCCCGCAACGAGCGCAACCCUUAUCCUUUGUUGCCAGCGGUCCGGCCGGGAACUCAAAGGAGACUGCCAGUGAUAAACUGGAGGAAGGUGGGGAUGACGUCAAGUCAUCAUGGCCCUUACGACCAGGGCUACACACGUGCUACAAUGGCAUAUACAAAGAGAAGCGACCUCGCGAGAGCAAGCGGACCUCAUAAAGUAUGUCGUAGUCCGGAUUGGAGUCUGCAACUCGACUCCAUGAAGUCGGAAUCGCUAGUAAUCGUAGAUCAGAAUGCUACGGUGAAUACGUUCCCGGGCCUUGUACACACCGCCCGUCACACCAUGGGAGUGGGUUGCAAAAGAAGUAGGUAGCUUAACCUUCGGGAGGGCGCUUACCACUUUGUGAUUCAUGACUGGGGUGAAGUCGUAACAAGGUAACCGUAGGGGAACCUGCGGUUGGAUCACCUCCUU